AAUGUGGAUUUGGAACUCAAGCCCACAAUGUGAUGAACAAGUUACAAAAAUAUUUAUUUUUAUAUAUACAAUAAAUUAGCCGCACGCAAGGAACCGGAUUCAUAAACACUUCCUCGAUUACCAUCAUCGUACCACAAUUAUAUAUGCACACCUUUCUUUUGACUCACUUUAUGCAUAUAUAUAUAAGACUUGCUCUCUAGCUAAUUAUAAUGAUUUGCAAACAUUUC
rnacentral:lncRNA from 1 species